UUGAACGCUGGCGGCACGCCUAACACAUGCAAGUCGAGCGGUAGCAUGUUUUGUAGCAAUACAAAAUGAUGGCGAGCGGCGGACGGGUGAGGAACACGUAGGAAUCUGCCCUUUAGCGGGGGACAACCAAGGGAAACUUUGGCUAAUACCGCGUAAUCUCGAGAGAGGAAAGCUGGCCGCAAGGUUGGCGCUAGAGGAGGAGCCUGCGUCCGAUUAGCUAGUUGGUAAGGUAAAGCUUACCAAGGCGAUGAUCGGUAACUGGUCUGAGAGGACGACCAGUCACACUGGGACUGAGACACGGCCCAGACUCCUACGGGAGGCAGCAGUGGGGAAUAUUGACGGGAAUGGGGGCAACCCUGAUCCAGCGAUGCCGCGUGAGUGAAGAAGGCCUUCGGGUCGUAAAG
rnacentral:rRNA from 1 species